GAUGAACGCUGGCGGCGUGCCUAAUACAUGCAAGUCGAGCGAACGGACGAGAAGCUUGCUUCUCUGAUGUUAGCGGCGGACAGGUGAGUAACACGUGGAUAACCUACCUAUAAGACUGGGAUAACUUCGGGAAACCGGAGCUAAUACCGGAUAAUAUUUUGAACCGCAUGGUUCAAAAGUGAAAGACGGUCUUGCUGUCACUUAUAGAUGGAUCCGCGCUGCAUUAGCUAGUUGGUAAGGUAACGGCUUACCAAGGCAACGAUGCAUAGCCGACCUGAGAGGGUGAUCGGCCACACUGGAACUGAGACACGGUCCAGACUCCUACGGGAGGCAGCAGUAGGGAAUCUUCCGCAAUGGGCGAAAGCCUGACGGAGCAACGCCGCGUGAGUGAUGAAGGUCUUCGGAUCGUAAAACUCUGUUAUUAGGGAAGAACAUAUGUGUAAGUAACUGUGCACAUCUUGACGGUACCUAAUCAGAAAGCCACGGCUAACUACGUGCCAGCAGCCGCGGUAAUACGUAGGUGGCAAGCGUUAUCCGGAAUUAUUGGGCGUAAAGCGCGCGUAGGCGGUUUUUUAAGUCUGAUGUGAAAGCCCACGGCUCAACCGUGGAGGGUCAUUGGAAACUGGAAAACUUGAGUGCAGAAGAGGAAAGUGGAAUUCCAUGUGUAGCGGUGAAAUGCGCAGAGAUAUGGAGGAACACCAGUGGCGAAGGCGACUUUCUGGUCUGUAACUGACGCUGAUGUGCGAAAGCGUGGGGAUCAAACAGGAUUAGAUACCCUGGUAGUCCACGCCGUAAACGAUGAGUGCUAAGUGUUAGGGGGUUUCCGCCCCUUAGUGCUGCAGCUAACGCAUUAAGCACUCCGCCUGGGGAGUACGACCGCAAGGUUGAAACUCAAAGGAAUUGACGGGGACCCGCACAAGCGGUGGAGCAUGUGGUUUAAUUCGAAGCAACGCGAAGAACCUUACCAAAUCUUGACAUCCUUUGACAACUCUAGAGAUAGAGCCUUCCCCUUCGGGGGACAAAGUGACAGGUGGUGCAUGGUUGUCGUCAGCUCGUGUCGUGAGAUGUUGGGUUAAGUCCCGCAACGAGCGCAACCCUUAAGCUUAGUUGCCAUCAUUAAGUUGGGCACUCUAAGUUGACUGCCGGUGACAAACCGGAGGAAGGUGGGGAUGACGUCAAAUCAUCAUGCCCCUUAUGAUUUGGGCUACACACGUGCUACAAUGGACAAUACAAAGGGCAGCGAAACCGCGAGGUCAAGCAAAUCCCAUAAAGUUGUUCUCAGUUCGGAUUGUAGUCUGCAACUCGACUACAUGAAGCUGGAAUCGCUAGUAAUCGUAGAUCAGCAUGCUACGGUGAAUACGUUCCCGGGUCU
rnacentral:rRNA from 1 species